rnacentral:rRNA from 1 species
GUACUGUGAAGGAAAGGUGAAAAGGACCCCGGGAGGGGAGUGAAAGAGAACCUGAAACCAUAUGUUUACAAGCUGUGGAACCGCUUUAUAUGCGGAACCGCGUACUUUUUGUAGAACGGUCCGGCGAGUUACGCUGGCUGGCGAGGUUAAGCACUGAAGGUGUGGAGCCGUAGGGAAACCAAGUCUUAAGAGGGCCAGAGU